rnacentral:ncRNA from 1 species
CGUAGGAUAACUGAGGGGAGCUGUCCUUAGUACGAGAGGACCGGGAUGGACGGACCGCUGGUGUACCUGUUGGCGACCAACGCCACGGCAGGGUAGCCAAGUCCGGCAGGGAUAAACGCUGAAGGCAUCUAAGCGUGAAGCCUCCCCCGAGAUGAGUUAUCCGCUGCGUAAGCGGUAAGACCCCUUGAAGACUACAAGGUAGAUAGGGCAUGGGUGUAAGUGCAGCAAUGUAUUAAGCUGAAUGCCACUAAUAGGUCGA